GCACAUAUUGGAGAUAAAAUGAGAAAUGGUCGAUUAAGAUAAUUUAGUCGUAUCCAAUGUAGAAUAUUGAAUACUUGGUACGAAAGCUAAUAAGUUAGUGAUGGAAUGAGUGAGAAAGGAAAUGAAGAGACCUAAAAUAAUGUGAAUGGAAGUGGUAUCUAAAAGUUUACAAUUUUUGGAUAUUGAUGCAUAAUUAGUUCAAAUAGUGUUCAAUAAUGAGAAAUAAUCCAUAUAAUUGACACCAUCUAGUUUAAAUGAAGAUUUUGUAAUUGUAUCGUUUUAGUUUUGUUUUUACAACCAACUGUAGGCAACUUUCCUUUU
rnacentral:misc_RNA from 1 species